CUGCAUCCUGAGCUACAUGGGGAAGCUGCAGCGGCACAAGGAGGUGCAGGUGCUGGGGAAGACAGGCCAGCAGCUUUCUGACAGUGGGCCACCCGCUGAGCACUACCCCUGCCCCGGCUGGGUCUGCAUCUCUGACCUCCGGAUUCCACUCACGUGGAAGGACACAGAGUAUUUCAAGAACAAAGGCGACCUGCACCGCCGGGCUGUGUUCUUACUGCUGCAGCUAUGGGAGCACAUUCAGGACCUGGAGAUGAUCCUGGUGGACAGGACCCUCACAGACAUCUCCUUUCAGAACGUGCUUUUUGCCGAGGCAGGGCCAGACUUUGAACUGCGGCAGGAGCUGUAUGGGCCCUGUGUGGAAGAGGAGGGGGCCCUGGCUGGAGCCCCGAAGAGGCUUGCCACAGCUCCCUGGGCCAUUCCUCAGGGAGGUGUGUUCGGGCAUCACUGGAGAAUGCUGAGGGCUCAGAGAGUGGUCCAUCCUGCUCCCCACACCGACUGUGCGAGGUCCUCGUUACCCCCUCUUGGCUCAUACCACCCUCACCCUGGCAGCAGUGCAAGAUGCAUUCCGCUCUCAUGACCUCACCCCACCUGGCUGCCCCUUUA